CGCAGGGCAGGGAACCAUCCACCCUUGGAGUUGCUGAGAAAGGGGGCCCAGAACCCAGAGAGGCAGGGUGCACUCACUCUCUGAGUUGGGGUGUGCAAGCAGAGAGCCAUCGAGUGGGUGCUCGGGACAGGCCUCCUUGUCAGCACUAUGCUGGCCUCAGGUGCUCAGGCUGGGUGCUGGGAGGUUCCAGGGUGUGGGCCCUGAGAGAAUAGCCAAUGCUGCAGGUCAGGGGUGGGGGGCUGGGAGCCACCACAAGGGCAAGGCACCGAGUUUCACUCCCUCUCUCCCUCCUCUCUUCUCCAGAUGGCAGCUACCAUUGACAUGAAUUUCCAGAGUGAUCUAUUGUCAAUAUUUGAAGAAAAUCUUUUCUGAGAGCACCUAGACACAAUGGCACUGCUUAUCUCCGAAAUGGUGUGAUCGUCUCCUCAUUGAGCGGCGGCUGCCACCGCGCUGUGGGUAGUGUGUGACCGUGGCUGUACUGUGUAGUGAAACAUAGUUGGCAUAUCUUUGUUUGAAGUUUGUUGGUGACUCCACCAAACUGGUGUAAAAAAAAAGCUCAAAAAAAAAAAACCCACAAAAAACAACGAAACAAAAACCUACAAAACACACAAAAAAAACUGCCUAUAUUUUACUCAAUUUCAAACUUUAUUAGUCUAUUUUUAAUUAUAAAGUCAGAAAGCUGCAUUUUCUUUCCCCUUUUUCUGCCCCUAUUCGUCGGCUUCUUUGUUUUUUAACGUCAAAUCUGUUUGAGGGUUUUUUGUUUUGUUUUGUUUUUUUAACCAGGAAAGGAAGGGCCAGGGCAUGAGGCAGGCACAGGGGGCCAGGGGCCACAGGCCACAGACUGAGGCAGAGGCUCCCUGCCUGACGCCUGGCCCUUAUCAGCCGGCUGCCCCUUCCCCCACUUUUUAAAAAAUUUUGUAAUUGGAGCCCUUGGUGAGUUUACGUGUGCCAUGAGAACCCACUCUACACCACGACGCUGGUGCCUCAGUGUUGGCCAAACUCUGGAGUCACUGACUGGUUUGACUUUCAUACAGUGAAUAUGCAUUUGGUCUGUACUGAUCAUGGAAUAAACACAUCUCUCUUUUUUAAUGCUGGUGUCUCCCUGACAUUUCUUUGUGAACCACCUGUUGCCUAGGCUAGGCCCAGGGGGCCCUCCAGACCACCUUUGUACAAGAACUACCACCGGGGACCACCUGGCCUGUCUGGCCUGACUGCUGUCCCUAGGCAGGAACUGCCCCCACAAGCUGAAGCUAUGACAGGGAGCCCAGGUACCCGUUCUUCCUGUGGACCCUGGCCUAGGUUGAUAGCAUGCUCCAGCAGAACCUGGCCAAACUCGAGAUAGUAUUCUUCCCCUUUGCCCUUCCUCCAUCUAGUACCCCACUUACCAGAGGACUUGAGUCACUUCCCCCACCUUGCCUGUCUACCGAAUUCCUCCUUUCAUUUAAGCUCAGGGUUAACCAGGUAUUCUUAGAUAAGUGUACAACCCCCUAAAUAGGAUCCUCACCCGCCCCCAACGAACACACACACACACACAUUCCUGCCCGAGAAAGUCCACCAGGUGGAUAUCCUGCUGCCCUGCCUGUAUGCCCAUCUGUAUACACACCCCAGCCACAGGGUGAUGGCAGUACCCAAGAGCGGCCCCCAGGAUGUAAGAUGAAAGUAUAUAAUUUAUAUGUAUGCAAAGACACAAAGUGAAACAUUUCCAGCACUCUUUAUUAACCUAUACCCCACCUUUUCAACCGGAAAGGCCCUGUAUUGUCUUGUGUUUGGGAUCUGCUAAACCUCCUAGCAAUGGUGUAGUUCAGGCAUUCAGCCAGAGACGUCUUGCCCCUGCUACAGGCACUUCUCCCCUUUUCCCCCAACAAGCACUUCCUCAUAUACCACUGUGCUGGUUCAAGUGUGACUUAAUAUUUUGGUCCCUUGGGGUUCCUUCCAUCUCAUCCCACUCCCUCAUUUUUUUCUGUUGUUUUGUUCAGAAACUACCCCAGGCCAAGUCUGACUGUUUAGCUGGAGAAAUGGUUUUGUCUGCACCUUCCUUCUAAGGUUUUUAACUCUGCCAUGGCCCUCUCCACACCUCCCUAAUGGGUGUUUAACUGGGUUGUAAUUAGAACUUGGAUCUACUAUUUAAUUUCUCUGGCCAUUUCCCAAUCCCUCCCACAGUACUAGAAAUCUUAGUUCUAUACAAGAGUAAGAGGUGUGUACAAGCCCCUACUGUACUGUAUGCACGGAUCGCUUGGCCAAUAAUUAUGUCAGUGAACCUGAGACUUGUAUUAAACACUUUAGACAUUUGUAGAAGGGAAUUCGUAGACUUUUCACUUAUAUACUAAAGGUUUUUUUUGUGCAGUUCUCAUUGCAAAAAUAAACAUUUGUACUGAAUA